rnacentral:rRNA from 1 species
UAGAGUAUGGUAGAGGAAAGUGGAAUUUCUGGUGUAGCGGUGAAAUGCGUAGAUAUCAGAAGGAACAUCGAUGGCGAAGGCAGCUUUCUGGACCAAUACUGACGCUGAGGUACGAAAGCGUGGGUAGCAAACAGGAUUAGAUACCCUGGUAGUCCACGCCGUAAACGAUGAUAACUAGCCGUUGGGAGGGUUUACCUCUUAGUGGCGAAGCUAACGCGUUAAGUUAUCCGCCUGGGGAGUACGGCCGCAAGGCUAAAACUCAAAGGAAUUGACGGGGACCCGCACAAGCGGUGGAGCAUGUGGUUUAAUUCGAUGCAACGCGAAGAACCUUACCUGGUCUUGACAUACAGAGAACUUUCUAGAGAUAGAUUGGUGCCUUCGGGAACUCUGAUACAGGUGCUGCAUGGCUGUCGUCAGCUCGUGUCGUGAGAUGUUGGGUUAAGUCCCGUAACGAGCGCAACCCUUAUCCUUAUUUGCCAGCACUUCGGGUGGGAACUAUAAGGAGACUGCCGGUGAUAAACCGGAGGAAGGCGGGGACGACGUCAAGUCAUCAUGGCCCUUACGACCAGGGCUACACACGUGCUACAAUGGGAAGGACAAAGGGUCGCUAAGCCGCGAGGUGGUGCUAAUCUCAUAAACCUUUUCGUAGUCCGGAUCGGAGUCUGCAACUCGACUCCGUGAAGUCGGAAUCGCUAGUAAUCGUGGAUCAGAACGCCACGGUGAAUACGUUCCCGGGUCUUGUACACACCGCCCGUCAUACCAUGGGAGUGGGUUGCACCAGAAGUGGGUAGUCUAACUUAGGAGGACGCUCACCACGGUGUGAUUCAUGACUGGGGUAAAGUCGUAACAAGGUA